GACGAACGCUGGCGGCGUGCCUAAUACAUGCAAGUUUAGCGAUGAAGAUUGGUGCUUGCACCAAUUUGAAGAGCAGCGAACGGGUGAGUAACGCGUGGGGAAUCUGCCUUUGAGCGGGGGACAACAUUUGGAAACGAAUGCUAAUACCGCAUAAUAACUUUAAACAUAAGUUUUAAGUUUGAAAGAUGCAAUUGCAUCACUCAAAGAUGAUCCCGCGUUGUAUUAGCUAGUUGGUGAGGUAAAGGCUCACCAAGGCGAUGAUACAUAGCCGACCUGAGAGGGUGAUCGGCCACAUUGGGACUGAGACACGGCCCAAACUCCUACGGGAGGCAGCAGUAGGGAAUCUUCGGCAAUGGACGAAAGUCUGACCGAGCAACGCCGCGUGAGUGAAGAAGGUUUUCGGAUCGUAAAACUCUGUUGGUAGAGAAGAACGUUGGUGAGAGUGGAAAGCUCAUCAAGUGACGGUAACUACCCAGAAAGGGACGGCUAACUACGUG
rnacentral:rRNA from 1 species